rnacentral:rRNA from 1 species
UUACUCGCGAUCCGCCAGGGAACUACAAGCACUGGCUUGAAACCCAAAGGACUUGGCGGUGCUUUAGACCCACCUAGAGGAGCCUGUUCUAGAACUGAUAACCCCCGUUCAACCUCACCCUGCUUUGCCAUUCCCGCCUAUAUACCGCCGUCGUCAGCUUACCUUGUGAGAGAUUAUAAGUGAGCAAGAUUGGUACAACCCAAAACGUCAGGUCGAGGUGUAGUGUAUAGCAGGGAAAGAAAUGGGCUACAUUUAUCAAUCGAUAA